rnacentral:rRNA from 1 species
GACAGAGGGUGCAAACGUUGCUCGGAUUUACUGGGCGUAAAGCGCGUGUAGGCGGGCGACUAAGUCGGAUGUGAAAUCCCUGGGCUCAACCUAGGAACUGCAUUCGAAACUGGUCACCUAGAGUGAUGGAGAGGGAAGCGGAAUUCCCGGUGUAGAGGUGAAAUUCGUAGAUAUCGGGAGGAACACCAGUGGCGAAGGCGGCUUUCUGGACAUUUACUGACGCUGAGACGCGAAAGCGUGGGGAGCAAACAGG